rnacentral:rRNA from 1 species
GAUGAACGCUAGCGGCAGGCUUAACACAUGCAAUCGAGGGGUAGAAGUCUUCGGACUUUGAGACCGGCGCACGGGUGCGUAACGCGUAUGCAAUCUGCCUUGUACAAAGGGAUAGCCCAGAGAAAUUUGGAUUAAUACCUUAUAGUAUAUCGAUGUGGCAUCACAAUGAUAUUAAAGAUUUAUCGGUACAAGAUGAGCAU